rnacentral:rRNA from 1 species
GUCUAUGGCCAUACCACCCUGAACAUACCCGAUCUUGUCUGAUCUCAGAAGCUAAGCAGAGUCAGGCCUGGUUAGUAUUCGGAAGGGAGGAAACAGAGUCGUGCCCA